CCAACAGGGAUUGCCUCAGUAACGGCGAGUGAAGCGGCAACAGCUCAAAUUUGAAAUCUGGCCCUAGGCCCGAGUUGUAAUUUGCAGAGGAUGCUUCGGGCGCGGUGCCUUCCAAGUCCCCUGGAACGGGGCGCCGGAGAGGGUGAGAGCCCCGUACGGUUGGCGGCCAAGCCUGUGUGAAGCUCCUUCGACGAGUCGAGUAGUUUGGGAAUGCUGCUCUAAGCGGGAGGUAGACCCCUUCUAAAGCUAAAUAUAGGCCAGAGACCGAUAGCGCACAAGUAGAGUGAUCGAAAGAUGAAAAGCACUUUGAAAAGAGGGUUAAACAGCACGUGAAAUUGUUGAAAGGGAAGCGCUUGUGACCAGACGUGCGCCGGGGUGUUCAGCGGGCGUUCUCGCCCGUGCACUCGCCUCGGCGCAGGCCAGCGUCGGUUUGGAUGGGGGGAUAAAGGCGCCUGGAAUGUGGCUCCCUCGGGAGUGUUAUAGCCAGGCGUGCCAUGCUCCCGUCCGGACCGAGGUACGCGUUCUGCAAGGACGCUGGCGUAAUGGUCCCCAGCGACCCGUCUUGAAACACGGACCAAGGAGUCGAGGUUUUGCGCGAGUGUUUGGGUGUUAAACCCGCACGCGUAAUGAAAGUGAACGUAGGUGGGAGCUUCGGCGCACCACCGACCGAUCCUGAUGUUUUCGGAUGGAUUUGAGUAAGAGCGUAGGGCCUCGGACCCGAAAGAUGGUGAACUAUGCUUGGAUAGGGUGAAGCCAGAGGAAACUCUGGUGGAGGCUCGCAGCGGUUCUGACGUGCAAAUCGAUCGUCAAAUCUGAGCAUGGGGGCGAAAGACUAAUCGAACCAU
rnacentral:rRNA from 1 species